ensembl:lncRNA
GGAAAUAAUCAGAGGACGGGCGCUUUUAGAGGCCUGGGAAAAAUAAAUGUAAAAAAUCAGAUCAAGACUCUGAUAUGGAUUCAUUCCACGAGGGCCAUUCGAGGUGGAAAUGACAACGGAUGCGGGAGCGGUUGGCAGCCCUGGUGCAGAAGGUCCAGCGGCACCGUGUUUUCUCUUGUCUUCGCCUCUGAAAUGCUCUGAAACCUUUUUUCCACGGUACGUUUUGUGAGCAGUGUUGCCGAGUCGACUAACGUCAGGAUGCACAAGCAGAGCGACACUCAAAGGAUGGAGAAGAAAAGCAGAACACGGUUUCGUUGAAGAAAGAAACAGAAGAAAGAAAAGAACAGAAAACAGAAGAAAAGGAUCUACGAUGGCAUUGAUCCCAACGUCAAUUUCUGUGAUCUAACGUGAAGCGCAAAUCCUUUACGACUAGAAACAUUGCCCAUAGUGCAAUGAAUGCUGGUUAUAGUUGUUUCACACCGAUGGGAAGUAGGAGCAGAGUAGUGCUCGGAGGCAUCUGCUACUCUUCCCUCAACGGCUGGAAGCGACGCACCACACCCAAGCGUUCUGGCCGGACCAGCCCUUAGUUAAGCUGCUAUAGGCUUAGAAUGCCGGGGGAAUUCUUAGGACACACCGAGCUCCUCUCUCACGCUCUCUUUCUACCAUAAUUCAAGUUUUAUUAAUGCACAUGACUAAUUCAGCUUCUUUCCGGGAGUUUUUUUUGUGCUUUCGCCCCUAUCAGGUCUCCAUAGAUCGUGGUUCCUUCGGGACCCUGGUCCUGACACCUACCGUGGCCAUGCUGACGCCUGCUGCUGCCAUCAUCAUCAUCAUCAUCAUCAUUAUUUUAGAUAUUAAUCAUAUUACUUUACUCAUAAACCGACAUUACCCUCUCCUAAAGUCUCUGUGCUCUCCCUCCCCACAGGAUUCUGUGGAUGGUGGUUCUAUCUGAUGGUGGUUGCCCCUGCAGUGGUCCUGCUGUGCGCCUGGCUUACUACUCACAAUUACUUGAAUCAUUUCUGUCAUAGGAAUUGCAUGUAUUAUACAUUGUUCAUUCUGUACACAUGGCAUCCAUUGUAGUCUGUCCAUCCCGGGAGUGGGAUCCCUCCUCUGACGUUCUCCCUAAGGUUUCUUCCCUUUUUUCCCUCUUGUAAGGGUUUUUUCAUUUUUUGGGGAGUUUUUCCUGUGCCGAUGGUGGGUUUCGGGGCAGAGGAUGUCGUAUGUGUAC